UACAGGGGUCCCAAGCGUUGUUCGGAUUCACUGGGCGUAAAGGGUGCGUAGGUGGUGAGGUAAGUCGGAUGUGAAAUCUCCGGGCUCAACCCGGAAAUGGCAUUGGAAACUACCUUGCUGGAGGAUUUGAGGGGGGAUUGGAAUACUUGGUGUAGCAGUGAAAUGCGUAGAUAUCAAGUGGAACACCAGUGGCGAAGGCGAAUCCCUGGAAAAUACCUGACACUGAGGCACGAAAGCUAGGGGAGCAAACAGG
rnacentral:rRNA from 1 species